UGUUUUUUUUUUUUGAGUUUCAGUCCCACAUUGGGUGGAGAUUACUUAAAAAUCUUAAAAAGCAAAAAAAAAAAACCCAAAAAAACAAAAACGGAUACAUGGAUGGGAUGGAGAAACUGCUUUAAUAUAUAUAACAAAACCCCAACUAUAACAUUUUAUGUGUUACAGAAUGCCCAACUGUGAAUUAACUGCAUUCCAAGUUCCAGGACUUUGACUCAACAAUGAAAGAUACACAGAGGUGAAUUUCUCUACAGCAAAGUCUAUAAAGCGUUGUUUUACUAUUUUCCCUUAAAAUUAUGUUUAUUACAUGUAGAGAAAUGUAUUAUUGGUGAAGUAGAGCUGUCCAAUUUUUAAAUACCUAAAACAAGAAAUCUAACACUCAACUGUAGUAGUUGUCCUAAUGUUACACCAAAGAACAAACACACAAAAGGAGCUAACUCUAUAAAAAGAAUUCUAAACAGUCUCCCAGUAACAGAUACUACAGGUAAGAGCAGUCAGCUCAUGGAGGAACAGUUACAUGUUUUGUUUCUCCUUCGCAUUAAAUUCAGUUUCUUUAUAUAUUCUGAGCUGAAACAGUGAUGUGUUUUCAUGUGUUCUUACUAAAAGGAAAACUGCUUUAUCACAGGAAAGGUCAAAGGUGAUACUCUGCACAUACAAAGAGACCUUUUUCUAACCACAAAAGAGGACAGAAAGGGAUGUAAAACUCAUCUCUCCAACUUCAAAAGAAAGUAUGAAAUGGAUUACCAAGGAAAUUAGUCACUGAUCUUCCAAAGAUGAAACUAGAUGUUACAGUGAAAAGGAAUUACCCAUACUUUUAAGAAGCUUCAGAAUGAGUCAUGAAAAAGUAUUUUUAGAAGAUAUAAAUAUCACUGGAACAAGUGUGGAAAAUUCAUGCAAAGGCUUUAUUCACUGAACUAAUGAAUCCCCUGCACCAUGUGCCAGACUAUAUAUCAGAUCCAAAGAUACAAAGGUGUGCAUUCUCCUAUCAGGAUUAUGAGUAGCUUCCGGGGAUGCAAAUAAAUGAAGACAGAUUCAAACACCUUGUCUGACUCAGGAGGUGUACACGGAGCUUGUUUUGCCAGGCCUACAACUGAUGUGGCAGGGCUUUCUGUUUCUCUCUAUCCUCAAGUCUCUAACUCGACAUUUUGUGGCACGUGGCUGAGGCCUACGAGUAAGAUGACUGAGAAAGCCCCUGCCCACAAGGGCUCACUGCUGACCACGGAAGACACAGAAACAGGCUUGGGAAGCAAGAACUGUGCACUGCCUGAUACGAGCAAUUGCACAAUGGACCAAACGCUAUGGGAUAAUAGAAAAUACCAAGCAGAUGGGUAAGAAGUGUAUGUUUCAUAGAAAUGUAGGUACCACUCACUUUCAGGACUCUUCUCAACAGACCUAACAUUUAGAUGCUUAAAUACAAAAUGCCUGCAUAUUUAUGUAGCUCGGUUGACAUUAUUCCUUCUAUUUUACCUCCUGUAAAAUCUCUUCUGUUGACAACAAAAAUCACUUCUUGAAUAUCAAACAUAAAAUUUAAGAUUUAAAAUAUUUUCAUCUCAUUAUCUUUUAUAUCUGAAACUUUUACUGUUUCAUAGGAUUUAUUACUUUUCCUAUGCUAAAAAACAGAGCUGGAGAUAAAAAUAAUAAUUGGCUUGAAAAUACAUUUUUGCAAGUAAAUUGGAACUGAUUUUCUAUUCUGGAAAUUCAGAACACUUUACACAAAAAUUAGUCAAAUGGUGAAAUCCUCCCUCUGGAAUUAAAAGUUGUUCAGUUUCUGUCAUUUACACUGUGCUUGUAACUUCUUCUCUACUUUAGGAGGGAAAUAAACAGAAAAAGCUCUCA